rnacentral:lncRNA from 1 species
CUGAGGCUGGAAGUGACGAGGAGAAGGAAGAAGAAGAGAAAAAAGCUGAGGCUGAAAGUAGCAAAGAGAAGGAUGAAGAAGAGGAAAAAGCUGAGGCUGAAAGUAACAAAGAGAAGGAUGAAGAAGAGGAAAAGCUAAAGGAUUAAGGCUAGUGAGUUUCUUCUCUCAAAGAUCUGAUGUGAAGAGAAGCAAAACUUAUCAACACUGUGCACGUGAUAGUUUGUGAGUGUUGAACCUAUGCUUUGUACUAUGUAAUCUCAUCUUACUGCACAUCAUUCUGUAUGGGAAGAAAGCAAAGGUGCUUCUCUAAAAAUGUUGUUAUCACAUUUUGCCACAUUUGCUAUGAAUAUUUCCCUUUCAAGCUUGUGUCCCUAUUCAUUUAAUAUGGAUGCAGUCUUGGGAGUGUAUGUCUACUUAAAAGAGUUUUGGGAAAAUGCGCUGCAGGCACAGAUGGUCAAGAAAAACAUUGGUCAGUUUUCUGGCUUUGUAUGGUCAGAGAAAGAGGUAAACCAAUUUCGUUUCUAUUUUGUUAGAAGGAUGUGUAUUCUUUUUUGUUUGCCUCAUGUUUGAGACUUGAAUGUUUUUUUCUCAGGAGGAGAAGCAAAGAGCACGAGUAAAGGAGAAACUUGACAAAUGCAUAAAAGACAAGUUGAUAUUUUUCUGUGAUGUACUUGAUAUACCUAUAAGCAGAAGCAGCAUUAAAAAGGUAAGUAAUUAGAAUAUGUGAGUUAUCUAUUUAUUGUACCUUGUUCUAUAUUCUAACCUAACCUCUAAGAAUGCCUCUGUUAUAAUACUCUCAGGAAGAAGUAGCUGCCAAGGUGCUUGACUUUUUGGAAUCUCCCAAGGCAUCAAGAGAUGUUUUACUUGCUGAUCGAGAAAAGGUACUACUGCUUGAGUCAGUACACUAUUGUUCUACAUUAUUAUCGUCAGUAUGAAAGGAGUGUUGAGUUCUUUUUCUUCUUUUUUUGGAAAUUAUACAUUUUUAGCAAGCCAAGAAGCGCAAGAGCACACAGAAAAAGAGGAAAUCUGCAGCAUCUUCAGAUACCCCAGCCAAGGUUUAUUAUAGUUUCUUAUCUCUAAAUUAUUAGUACACUUUGUAUCCCUUGCAUGCUACUGGCUGGUAGUUGUUACCAUUAACUCAUUGAUUAGCUCAUGAAUUUUACAAACACUCUCUUGUGUAUCUUUUCUCUUACUAUACAGAGGAAAAGGCAAACUAAAAAGAAAGAUCAUCCAUCUGACACAGAAGAAGGCAAGGGUGAGGAUGAUUCUGAUUCCGAAGGCACUAAGGAUACUCAUGAUGAAGAUGAUGCGGCACCAGAAGAAGAUAGUGACCAUGAGAAAACUGAAACUGAAGAUGAGAAAGACAAAGCAGAAGAUGAGAAGCCAUCUGAUAAGAAAAUCUCAUCGAAGAAGAUUAAAGAGGAGAGCUCAGCAGGUACCAAAGGCAAAGAUAAACAAGCGUCUGCCAAAGUUUCUAAGAAAUCUGGUGAAAAGUCCUCCAAAAGAGUUGCUAACUCAACUUCAUCCCCAGCCAAGAAGCAAAAGGUUGACCAUGAGGAGUCUUCUAAAGGGAAAAGCAAGAAAAAGUCAGUUAAGCCACAGGCUAAUGGAUCCAAAGACAAAGGUUAUAAACGUUUUCAACUGCUUCUUAAAACUUUUUAAGACUUAGCUAGAAUUGUGAUUAUUUCUGAAAUUAUUCUCUCGCUGCUUCUAUUUUUACAUACUAUCAUGGAUUGGAUGCAGGGAAAGGCACUAAGAAAGGGAAAGUAGAGCCAACCAGAGAAGAGAUGCUUGAAUUUGUCUCCAAAAUUCUCAAGGAAGUAGACUUCAACACGGUAAGCUAGUUCAGUUUGCUGACACUGACUGAAAUUUAAUAGUCUAAAGACAUUCAAUAAAUGUUCUUAUACUCAAUUUUUUUUUUCUUGUUAACAGGCUACAUUAUCAACUAUUCUGAAGAAGCUAAGUACGUUCUUUGAUUUUGCUUAUAUGUUUUGCAACCUAUGUUUAAUUAUACUCUCCAAAUAUGACGAGUUUUUUGGUAACAUUUGCCAUUUGUAAUAACAUCAGGUGACCAUUUCGGUGUUGAUCUCUCGCAUAGAAAACCAGAGGUGAAGGAGGUUAUCCAAGAUGCUAUAAAUGAAAUGACUGAUGAUGAAGUAGAAGACGAAGACGAAAAAUCUGAGGCUGGAAGUGACGAGGAGAAGGAAGAAGAAGAGAAAAAAGCUGAGGCUGAAAGUAGCAAAGAGAAGGAUGAAGAAGAGGAAAAAGCUGAGGCUGAAAGUAACAAAGAGAAGGAUGAAGAAGAGGAAAAGCUAAAGGAUUAAGGCUAGUGAGUUUCUUCUCUCAAAGAUCUGAUGUGAAGAGAAGCAAAACUUAUCAACACUGUGCACGUGAUAGUUUGUGAGUGUUGAACCUAUGCUUUGUACUAUGUAAUCUCUAUAGUUUCAUCAAUGUAUUAUGUAGUUUCAGUGACUUCUUCUUGUGUAGCUGUUACUUGUUAGGUUUUCUAAUCCUUGUCCUAUUUGCUGCCACUUACU